GGUUCUGUAUUCAUACAAUGAUUUUAAAUUGCAAAUUUAAAGGUGAAUUUUAAUUCCGGGACUU
rnacentral:tRNA from 1 species